ACGGUGACUGACAUCUCCAGCUCCCGGCAGCAGUCCGCCCUUGGACACACUCACAGCCAAUCAGCGAACACCUUUCGUAGUAUCUUGCCUCCAUUGGCUGAGGUGUGUCAGUGGGCGGGACGCUGGGCGGACCGAAGUUUGGAACCGGGAACGAGUGGACCCGGUGAGAGACCCGAGAUCGGGAGCAGCUCCCCGGGUAAAGGCUGCAACAGCGGCCGGAGUUUUGAAUCCUUCCGAUGGCGGAGGUGAAGUUUCGGGCGGAGAUUCGGUGAGAUGUUUCAGCCUCACAGAGGGAGCCCGGUCUUUCCCCGCCGUGGAUCGGGGCCUGUUGUCCGGAGUUUCCUCCCAGUCCUGUCUCCUGCUGCUGGGAUACGGGAGCUGGCCCGCAGCGGCUGCCGAUGGAACUCCGGUGUGUGAGCGCUCCCCUGUGCAAAAGGACAGGCUGAAGGUCAAGGGAGAACCAGGCGCAAAGAUUGAACAGGGAGCGCUGAGAGCACCGGACAUCUACCGGCAGCCGCUGCCGUUAUUUCAUGUUCUCGUUGUUUAUUUGCAUUGGCGAAGUUUGUUGUCUUCUGCACUCUGAUUGAUCUUUCAGUGAUCCAGAUAUUGUUACCGUUCUGUAGCUUUGCUCUGUGUGUUUGUAGGAGUUGUAGGUGGCGACUUAAAUGUACUCUGUUAGUUUUUGGAAUAGUCGCUUGGGUAAUCUGAGGUGGAGGGGUAUUUGGGGCUUAUUUAAAACUAUACAUAGAUAUUAUCCAAAUAGUGUUUAUUUGACGGGUUAAUUCUGAUAUCGAAACUAACUGUUAUUUUUGUGGUUUAUAACCAGAGGAUUUAUUUCAUCUGUUUUGGGAUUGUGAAUAUGUUAAAACAUUUUAGGUUGAUGUUUGUCAAUUUAUAGAUCAAUAUAUUAAUGUGGAUUUUACUUUUUGUUUUGAAAAUGUCUUAUCUGGGUUUACUAAUAACACCAAAUCUCAUGGGGAUCAUUUCUCUGUCAUAAAUAUUUACAGCGGCUUUCCUUGUUUAUUUGUAUAUUUAAAGUUAAUGGUUAUAUAUUCGUUGCUGCUUUUGUGUGAUUCCCUGACUUUGUUAGCAUAUGUUUAAUGUUUCUGUUUUUGUUUGUGUUCAAUAAAUUGUUAAAAUAUUAAAAAAUAAUAAUAAAAUUUACUUUGAACUUUGAGCCUCGGGGAACUUGCUUUGAUUCUGAGAACAAACUGUGACUGACAUCUCCGUCUCCCGGUAACAGUCUCCCCUCGGACACACUCACAGCCAAUCAGAGAACACCACUGGGAGACUCUGGCCUCCAUUGGCUGAGGAGUGUCAGUGGGCGGGACUCUGGGCGGACCGAAUUUUGGAACCGGGAACGAGUAGACCCGGUGAGAGACCCGAGAUUGGGAGCAGCUCCCCGGGUAAAGGCUGCAACAGCGGCCGGCGUUUUGAACCCUUCCGAUGGCGGAGGUGAAGAUUCGGGCGGAGAUUCCGUGAGAUGUUUCAGCCACACAGGGGGAGCCCGGUCUUUCUCCGCCGUGGAUCGGGGCCUGUUGUCCGGAGUUUCCUCCCGGUCCUGUCUCCUGCUGCUGGGAUCCGGGAGCUGGCCCGCAGCGGCUGCCGAUGGAGCUCCGGUGUGUGAGCGCUCCCCUGUGCAAAAGGACAGGCUGAAGGUCAAGGGAGAACCAGGCACAAAGAUGCGUCAGGCAACAUCGGGAUUCAGCCGCAGGGUCCGGUUGUCACACAUACUGUCACAAGUCUGAAAUUAAAAUGUUCUGUCCAGUCAGUUCCCAAUGCUGACUCUAGAUGGCGCAGUGGAGCAGACAGCAGACAGGACAGGGCGACACCAUCGAGUCAGUUGUCAACGUUGCCAGUGGAAAUUGUACUUGCCAGGUUCAGAACAACGUAACGGUGAAACGCAGCGGCUUUUCUGUAAAGAUCAGCCUGUCGCGUAAAUAAAAGUUGCUGCCGA